rnacentral:rRNA from 1 species
AGAGUUUGAUUCCUGGCUCAGAGCGAACGCUGGCGGCAGGCUUAACACAUGCAAGUCGAGCGGGCACUUCGGUGUCAGCGGCGGACGGGUGAGUAACGCGUGGGAACGUGCCCUCUGGUUCGGAAUAACUCAGGGAAACUUGAGCUAAUACCGGAUACGCCCUUUUGGGGAAAGGCUUGCUGCCGGAGGAUCGGCCCGCGUCUGAUUAGCUAGUUGGUGAGGUAACGGCUCACCAAGGCGACGAUCAGUAGCUGGUCUGAGAGGAUGAUCAGCCACACUGGGACUGAGACACGGCCCAGACUCCUACGGGAGGCAGCAGUGGGGAAUAUUGGACAAUGGGCGCAAGCCUGAUCCAGCCAUGCCGCGUGAGUGAUGAAGGCCUUAGGGUUGUAAAGCUCUUUUAUCCGGGACGAUAAUGACGGUACCGGAGGAAUAAGCCCCGGCUAACUUCGUGCCAGCAGCCGCGGUAAUACGAAGGGGGCUAGCGUUGCUCGGAAUCACUGGGCGUAAAGGGCGCGUAGGCGGCGUUUUAAGUCGGGGGUGAAAGCCUGUGGCUCAACCACAGAAUGGCCUUCGAUACUGGGACGCUUGAGUAUGGUAGAGGUUGGUGGAACUGCGAGUGUAGAGGUGAAAUUCGUAGAUAUUCGCAAGAACACCGGUGGCGAAGGCGGCCAACUGGACCAUUACUGACGCUGAGGCGCGAAAGCGUGGGGAGCAAACAGGAUUAGAUACCCU